AUUGUGGAUCUGGAAAACGUUCCUAAAAUAUUUCACAAUAAAAUUUCCCAAUCAAGAUUGACUAUUGCUAGUUUAUCAUAGAAAAUGCAUUUCUUUUCAUGCCAAUAUGCUCCAUUCAAAAUAUCAUUCUUAAUUCUUAGUGAAUUUAGCAAAAGACAACAACUAAUAAAAUUGCAAACGCACAUAAGUAAAUGCAUUCAGAAGAGGAGAUAACUAUUAAUGGCUUACAAAAUGUCCAUAUACCAGUAUUACCCCAAUAUAGCAGAGUUGUAAGAACUAGGAAGGGUGACUUGAAUAUCUGACUACUUAGAUGCUUGCACCAAAAUGGCUUCCUUUAAAGACUUGAAUAAUGCACCUUUGGUUUAUUUGCAUCCCAAGACGUGAAUUAUUAAUUUGCAAGGCACGGUUCAAUUUUGGAGUCUAUAAAUAGCCUCAGCCAUACAAUAAUACUCAAGAAUCUAAUUUUUAUUGGAAACAUGAAUAUCAUUCCACAUAUUUGUAUAUGAUAUAUCUAUGCAUAUCUCUACGAGCAUGUGUUGCAUGUAUUUGUUAUCGUGGGAAUUUAGUCCAUAGGCUUGACUAUCAAGAUUAGGAUAAUGCAAGCCACAAAAAUGUUCCAUGGAAAAAUAUCAUUCCUCAUUCUAGAAUUGAAUGGUGAUCAUCUAUAAUUGGCAAAAAAAUAUAUAUAUAUAUUGCAUUCAUGUUGUCUAGUAGUGAAUGUGUAGCAAAAAGCAAUGAGGCAAGGAAAGAAUA
rnacentral:misc_RNA from 1 species